UGAUUGCCUGUGAUUUGGAAGAUGUGCCGCCGAGAAUGUUUGCAACACAAAAUCGUUUAGUCACUCUAGAUUUAUCGUACAACAUCCUCACAAGGCUUGUCAGAGGAAGUUUGUUCGGCCUGCACAACUUGGAAUAUCUCGAUAUACGUGGCAAUCGACAGGCUGAGAUCGAGAUGGGGGUAUUCAAAGAUUCGUCCGGAAUUUACUUCAUG